rnacentral:rRNA from 1 species
UACAGAGGGUGCGAGCGUUAAUCGGAAUUACUGGGCGUAAAGGGCGCGUAGGCGGUUUAUCAAGUGAGAUGUGAAAUCCCCGGGCUUAACCUGGGAACUGCAUCUUAAACUGAUAGGCUGGAGUACUGUAGGGGAUAGUGGAAUUUCCGGUGUAGCGGUGAAAUGCGUAGAGAUCGGAAGGAACAUCAGUGGCGAAGGCGGUUGCCUGGAGCUUUGCUGACGCUGAGGCGCGAAAGCGUGGGGAGCGAUCCGG